UACAGAGGUGCCGAGCGUUAGGCGGAAUCACUGGGCUUAAAGCGCGUGUAGGCGGGUCGUUAAGUGCCUUGUGAAAUCCCACGGCUCAACCGUGGAACGGCUGGGCAUACUGGCGAUCUUGAGGCACCCAGGGGCUGUCGGAACAAAUGGUGGAGCGGUGAAAUGCGUAGAUAUCAUUUGGAACGCCAACGGUGAAAACAGACAGCUGGGGGUGUCCUGACGCUGAGACGCGAAAGCCAGGGGAGCGAACGGG
rnacentral:rRNA from 1 species